rnacentral:lncRNA from 1 species
UCAAAUAGUUUUUUAGAGUUCAGAGGGGGAAGAGGAUGAGAGCACAGACCGAAGAAAGAAGCAGCGCGAGAAGAGGCAUAUCCCAAUCGGCUAACCCCUCACGUAUCCUCAACAUUUGAACUUCAAAUAAAUCCGUAUAACAACGGGCUCUGCAGUCCAGUCUGAUCUGAGGUAAGGUUUCUUGCGCCACUCCCCCUCUCUCUCGCUCCCGCC